ACACAUACACCAUUCUCUCUCUCCGAGUUUCAACUGUUGUCUCCUGUUUCUCUUCUCAUAGUUUCAAGAUUCUGUCUUCAUCUUAUCUCUUUGGUCCCUUGGAUCCCACCAUAGCAAGCUUGGGUUUUUUCUUCCUAGAAAUACCUGGUUUUACACGAGUAAUAACGUUAAAGCUGUGCAUAGUUCGGUGAAACAAAGAAGAGAAACAGCAUGCCUUGGUUCAGUUUCUUUCGCAGAGUUGUGCGCUUGAAUUUAUACUGCAGAGUUAUUUUGUAAAAUCUGUCUUUUUCACUUUACCUUUGUUUUUAUAUCAGCUAGCUGUUCUUUGCUCAACCAUCCAUGGGAUCCACCCACUUUUAUUUAUUCUUUUGUGAUCAAUAUAGGAUUAGUUAGAAAUAUCGGUAGUUAGAAAUAUCGGAAGUUAGAAUACUAAUCCUAAUUCGAGCUCCUUCAGACAGUUUAUUGCUUUCGAACCGUUUCUUUAGUACUAGAUAGAUAUUUUAUUUGUCUUAUACCUUGGGUGAGUUUGGCUGCUUUGUUAUCUGGUAUUUGUUUCCGUUCUCGUCCUAUAUCGAUAGGAGUGAUUAAUCCAAGGAGAAAUACGUAGUUAUGGUGUGCCAAGCAGCUAGUCAAACAAGAUUUAGAGCAUUAAAACAUGAAAAUGGGAUUGCCGGAAAACCAACGAUUGUAGUUAGAGUAAUUGCAUGCUUUCAACCAAUGGAGGAUUGUCAGGCUGAGUACUUCCGUCAUUUACUUAAGCCGGUCACGUAGAUUGAUUCCAUAUCUGUGGUAUAUUAUCAAGCCAGAAUUUAUAAAGUUUUUCUUCUCAACAUUUGUUCGUUACAAAAGCAUUUAGAAGUUUAAUAUACGGGAUCGAGCAUUGUCCAUUACCUGGAGUGUUCUAGUUGUAUGGUUUGGACCAACGAUUCUUCGGUUUUCCCUCAGCGUUCUUCUUGGCAACUGCCUGACUUAAGGUGCAUGAGAUCAUCAUUAGCGCCCAGGCAGCAAGAAUGUUUGCCUGCGUAUUUGAACCCUGGCAGUCACAUGCUUUCUGCGAGUAUAUCAAAACCGGGUUUUUUGGUUCCGGAUACAGAUCAUGGCAGUCAUUUGCUUCCUGCAAAUAUUACAAUGCCAAGGCCAGCAGAUAUUUCUGUACUAAAAACGGAACAAAAGUAUCAUCCCCACGAGUUUAUUCAGCAGUUUUACCCCGGUUUCCCGACUUCAUUGCCCUCUUCCGGUUCAUAUCUCAAUGAACAGCAAUUCAAGUUUACUAAUGGACACGGGGGAAGGGCUACAGCUAAUUUGGUCCCUGGCUCCUCGCAGAAAGGGCUGAUUAUUUUUGAUCAGUCGGGAAGUCAGACAAGGUUAAUUUAUGGUCCUUUUCAAUCUCCAUAUCAGUAUGCGAUGACUUCCACCACAGAGGUAGCUUCUUCCCUCGAUUUCCAUGUAGGGCAAGCAGUUAAAACAGAUAGUCUCAUUCCCACCCCACCAGCUUUACAGGAGGAAUAUGAUGAGAACCAUUUGGGUGCCGAAGAGAGUGAGAUGCAUGAAGAUACCGAAGAACUUAAUGCUUUGCUUUACUCAGAUGAAGAUGAUGAUGCUUAUGGUGACGAAGACGACGAUGAAGUAACGAGCACGGCUCACUUUCCUAUUGGAAUUAAGCGAAACUAUGAGGAUCAAGACCAUGGUUAUGAUGUAACGGAGCAAGUUGCCAGUUCUAAUGGUCCAAACAAAAGGCAAAAGCUACUGAACGAUAGGAAUAAGCGACCGAUAAUAGUCGACGAAGGCUAUCACGAGUAUGAUGCUGAUGCAGACUCAAGCAAUGCCAUUGGACCGAAUGACGGAGAGAAAACUUUGCAUGAUGAACAGUCGAUAAAGGAUAAGAUUCGCACGACGAUAAAAAUCCUGGAAAGCAUAAUACCCGAUGCCAAAGGAAAGAACCCAUUGUUGGUCCUCGACGAAUCUAUAGACUACUUGAACUCCUUAAAGCUCGAAGUCGAGACUUUAGGAGUGAACUGCUACUAGGUUUGCACUCCCUCCCUUUGUAAGUAUGCCGAUUACAUUAUUUGGUAGGAAAAGAAGGCUGAAAAUGAACCAAAGUCUCAACUCGAAUGAUCGAUGAAUUUGAAAUCAUUAAACUCGCCUUUUCUGUGGGGCCGACCCGUUUUGUCAUCUUUUUUACUUUCUCAAGGAGCCUGAUGGGGGGCCAGCCAAUGAAGGAAAGGCAAGUAAAAAGCAAGUCAUCAAUGCUUUGAACGCAUUUUGGGGGGGGGGGGGAGGGGAAGAGUCUGCUAGUAGUGUGGUGUGUGCUGUAAAAAACAAGGCCCCCACCCCCCAUGGCCAUGGAUGUGGUGUAGUGUGCAUGCGCGUUAGGUCGAGCUGGGUCCCGCUACCCGACCCCGUUCCUGUCUCUUUUAUUACCUUGAGAACAACACAUCAUGCUUGAUA